GGGGUUACGAUGAGUAAACGAAACACUAAAACGCUAGAUAGUAUCUGAAAGCAUUAUUUAUGAUUGUGUGUUAUAAACAGAAAUAUCUCUGAACCCC
rnacentral:snoRNA from 1 species